AGAGUUUGAUCCUGGCUCAGGAUGAACGCUGGCGGCGUGCCUAAUACAUGCAAGUCGAACGCACUGUGGUUCAACUGAUUUGACGAGCUUGCUCUGAUAUGACGAUGAACAUUGCAGUGAGUGGCGAACGGGUGAGUAACACGUGGGAAACCUACCUCUUAGCGGGGGAUAACAUCUGGAAACAGAUGCUAAUACCGCAUAACACUAGCAACCGCAUGGUUGCUAUUUGAAAGAUGGUUCUGCUAUCACUAAGAGAUGGUCCCGCGGCGCAUUAGUUAGUUGGUGAGGUAAUGGCUCACCAAGACGAUGAUGCGUAGCCGAGUUGAGAGACUGAUCGGCCACAAUGGGACUGAGACACGGCCCAUACUCCUACGGGAGGCAGCAGUAGGGAAUCUUCCACAAUGGACGAAAGUCUGAUGGAGCAACGCCGCGUGUGAUGAAGGGUUUCGGCUCGUAUAACACUGUUGUAUGACAAGAAUACCAUUGAAAGUAUCUGCUCACUGUCUGACGGUAUCUUACGUGGAAAGGAACGGCCAAAUAUGUGGCGCCACCGGGGGUAAUACGUAUGUUCUAAGCGUUA
rnacentral:rRNA from 1 species